rnacentral:SRP_RNA from 1 species
GGUCGGACACCUCGCAACAGACGGAUGUGAACCCCGUCAGGUCCGGAAGGAAGCAGCGGUAAGCAUUGCGGUCUGUGUCGAGGUUCACUCUGAUUGGA